rnacentral:rRNA from 1 species
UAAAUACUGGCAAGAGACCGAUAGCGCACAAGUAGAGUGAUCGAAAGAUGAAAAGAACUCUGAACAGAGAGUUAAAUAGUACGUGAAAUUGUUGAAAGGGAAGCACUUGUGACCAGACGCACUUGCAGCCGAUCAAUUYUCAUUUUUGAGGGUGCACUCGSUUGUCUGUGGGUCAGCAUCAGUUAUAGCGGUAGGAAAAAGACUUGGGGAAUGUAGCUCCUUUCGGGGAGUGUUAUAGCCUUGUGUGCAAUGCUGCCUGCUGUGACUGAGGACCGCGCUUUGGCGAGGAUGCUGACAUAAUGGUCGUAAGUGACCCGUCUUGAAACACGGACCAAGGAGUCUAANAUCUAUGCGAGUGUUUGGGUGUACAAACCCUUACGCGGAAUGAAAGUAAAUGGAGGUGGGAACCGCAAGGUGCACCAUCGACCGAUCCUGAUGUUUUCGGAUGGAUUUGAGUAGGAGCAUAGCUGUUGGGACCCGAAAGAUGGUGAACUAUGCCUGAAUAGGGUGAAGCCAGAGGAAACUCUGGUGGAGGCUCGCAGCGGUUCUGACGUGCAAAUCGAUCGUCAAA